AGAGCGCAGCCUGGGAUCAGAAAGAAAGCAAGUCAUCUGCAACCUGUCAGAGCCUAAGACCAGAAGGCAGGCCCAACCUCCGAGACCAUCCUUGGACAUCACUAGACUGGGAGCUAUACAUGGAAGGGAGCAGCUUCGUCAACCCAAGGAGAGAGGUGUGCUGGAUAUGCAGAGGUAACCCUGGACGGUGUCAUUGAAGCCAAAUUGUUGCCCCAGGGUACUUUAGCCCAGAAGGCAGAACUCAUUGCUUUAAUUCAGGCCUUAGAGCUAAGUGAAGGUAAGACUAAACAUUUACACUGACUCUAGGUGUGCCUUUUUAACUCUUCAAGUGCAUGGGGCAUUAUACAAGGAAAAAGGCCUAUUGAACUCUGGGGGACAAGAUGUAAAGUAUCAGCAAGAGAUCCUGCAACUAUUAGAGGCAGUGUGGAAGCCCCAAAAGGUGGCAGUCAUGCACUGCAGUAGACACCAGUGAGAUUCUACCUUGAUUGCCUUGGGGAACUCCCAAGCUGACUCAGAGGCUCAAAAAGCAACAUCCACACCCUACCGGGCAUCAGUCACAGCAUCCCCUGCUCCCUCAGGAACCUGACCUUGUACAUACUUAUUCUAAAGAAGAGAAGUACUUUCUCCAGGCAGAGGGAGGGCAGAUGAUAGAAGAGGGAUGGAUCCAGUAAUUGGACAGAAGAAUAGCUGUGCCACAACUGCUAGGAGCCACCGUCGUACUGGCUGUGCAUGAGACCACCCUCCUAGGCCAAGAGUCACUUGAAAAGUUGUUAGGCCAGUAUUUCUAAAUCUCGCAUCUGUCAGCCCUUGCCAAAACAGUGGCGCAGCCAUAUGUUACCUGCUGGCAGCACGAUGCUAGGCAAGGUCCAACCAUUCUGCCCAUCAUACAAGCUUAUGGAGCAGCCCCCUUGGAAGAUCUCCGAGUAGACUUCACCAAGAUGCCCAAAUGUGGAGAUCUCAUGCCUAGGUUUGGACUGCACUUACGAAUCAGCUUGGACAAUGGGCCGGCGUUUGUGGCUGACUUGGUACAGAAGACAGCUAAGGUAUUGGGGAUCACAUGGAAACUACAUACCGCCUACCAACCACAAAGUUCCGGAAAGGGAGCAGAUGAAUCAGACUACCAAAACAUAAUUUAGUGAAAGUGUGUCAAGAAACAGGGUUAAGGGUGUGGAUCAAGGAUUAGAACGUAACCCCCUUGUGGCCAUGGUGGAAAGGACCCCAGACUGUCGUCUUGACCACAGCCAUAAAGGUAGAGGGAAUCCCAGCCUGGAUCCACCACAGCCACGUUAAACCUGCAGCACCUGAGACCUGGGAGGUAAGACCAAGCCCGGACAACGCCUGCAAAGUGACUCUGAAGAAGACGACAAGCCCUGCUGCAGUCACACCCGGAAGCUGACUGGUCCACACACGGCCGAAGCAUGAGGAAACUCAUCUUGGGACUCCUUUUCCUUAAACUUUGGACUUAUAGAGUAAGGACUUCAACUGACCUUCCUCAGACUGAGGACAAUUCCCAGCAUAUAUAUCAAGUCACUGAGAUAGGACAAAAGGUUGCUGUAGUCCAUUAUUUUAUAGUUAUUAUGAGUGUACCGGGACUCUAAGAGGAACUUGUUUGUAUAAUGCUACUCUAUACAAGGUAUGUAGCCCAGGAAGUGACCAGCCUGAUGUGUGCUCUAACCCAUCUGAGCCUCCUAUGACUACCAUUUUUGAAAUAAGAUUGAGGACUGGGAGCUGGGGAAAAGCUGAUAUGAGUAGAGUAGUAACUAGAAUAGAAGAGAAAGGAGUCCCCAAACAAAUUUUCUUAAAAUUUGAUGCCUGUGCAGCAAUCAACAGUGACCUGUAUGGAAAUAGAAUAAGAUGUAGCUCUCUAGAUUGGGAAAGGGGCUAUAUAGUAGAAAAUAAGUAUGUUUGUCAUGAAUUAGGACUAUGUACUGAUGAAUGUAGUUACUGGUCCUGUGUUAUUUAGGCCACCUGGAAAAAAAUAUGAGAAGGACCCUGUCCUCCUUCAAAAAGGAAAGAGUAACUCUUCAUGCACUUGUGGUUACUGUAACCUAUUAGAACUACUAAUUACCAAUCCCCUUGAUCCCCAUUGGAAAACAGGAGAGUAUGUAAAUUUAGGAAUCAAUGGAACUGGACUGGAUCCCUGAGUAAAUAUUUUAGUCCAAGGGGAGGUCCACAGGCUCUCUCCCAAACCAGUGUUUCAGACAUUUUAUGAUGAGCUGAAUCUGCCAGCACCAGAGCUUCCACAAAAAAGAAAAGAACUUGUUUCUCCAUUUAGCAGAAAAUGUAGCUCAUUUCCUCAAUGUUACUUCCUGUUACAUAUGUGGGGGAACCACUAUGGGAGACCGAUGGCCUUGGGAAGCCCGAGAAUUGGUGCCUACUGAUCCAGUUCCUGACAUAAUUCCAGUCCAGAAGACUUCUGGGUCUUGAAAACCUCUAUUACUGAACAAUACUGCAUAGCUAGGGAAUGAAAAGACUUCACCAUCCCUGUAGGAAGGCUCAAUUGUCUAGGACAGAGGUCUAGGACAGAGGCUGUAUAACGGCACAACAGGGACAGUCACCUGGUGGGGUCUAAACCAUACUGAAAAGUAUGUAAAUUUCCUUCAUUACAUUCCUUCAGUAAAUUUCCUAAAUUACAGAUUGCUUGGCCCAUCCACAAUCUCAUCGAGACUGGACGGCUCCUACUGGACUAUACUGGAUAUGUAGGCACAGAGUCUACACUCAGUUACCUGAUCAAUGGCCAGGUAGUUGUGUCAUUGGCACCAGUAAGCCAUCCGUUUUCCUACUGCCCGUUAGAACAGGUGAGCUCUUAGGUUUCCCUGUCUAUGUCUCCCGAGAAAAGAGGAGCAUAGCUAUAGGAAAUUGGAAAGGUGAUGAGUGGCCCCCCCCCGAAAGGAUCACACAGUACUAUAGGCCUGCCACAUGGGCACAAGAUGGCUUGUGGGGAUACUGAGCCCCUAUCUACAUGCUCAACUGGAUCAUACUGUUACAGGCCAUCUUAGAAAUAAUCACUAAAGAAACUGGCAGAGCUUUGACUCUUUUAGCCCAGCAGAAACCCCAAAUGAGAAAUGCCAUCUAGCAGAAUAGAUUGGCCUUAGACUAUUUGCUGGCAGCUGAAGGAGGAGUCUGUGGAAAAUUCAACUUGACCAAUUGCUGUCUGCAAAUAGAUGGUCAAGGACAAGUAGUCGAAAAUAUAGUUAGAGACAUGACAAAGCUGGCACAUGUACCCAUGCAGGUUUGGCAUGGGUUUGAUCCUUGAUCCCUGUUUGGAAAAUAGUUUCCAGCUCUAGGAGGAUUUAAAACUUUUAUAAUAGGAAUAAUAAUAGUGUUAGGAACAUGCAUGUUACUCCCCUGUAUGUUACCCAUAUUUCUACCACCUUAGUUCAUCAAAAGACCUCAGCACAAGUAUAUUACAUGAAUCACUAUCGAUAUGUCUCACAGGAAGAUCUAGAUAGUGAGGAUGAGAAUGAGAACUCCCACUAGUGUGUGAGGUUCUCAAAGAGGGGUAUUAGGAGACAAGCCAUUUCUCCUACUGUCCCCUGUAUCCAAAGAAAAGGAGGAAGUAAAAACUGAAAAAUAACAGACUGAUCAGUGCCACUGGCCAGGCCUGUAGGUUAAAGAUUAACCCCACCCUAACUGCUUGUGCUAUCUAUAGAUCACAGAUAAUGGUAUGGAGAAAUACUUGCCUUGCUCACCACCCCCACCUAGUCAUGUACCACAUGCUUGCUCAAUAUAUCGUGACCCUUUCACGUGAACCCCUUAGAGUUGUAAGCGGGAACUCUUUUUUUGGGGAGUUCAGUUCUUGAGACACAAGUCUGCCAACACUCCUGGCCAAAUAAAGCCUCUUCCUUCUUUAACCCGGUGUCUGAGGGCAUUUGUCUGUGGCUCGUCCUGCUACAAUGGACCUUCUGGUUUAGAGAGUCUGUAUAUGUUGAACUUUAAUGGAUUUUUCCAAUUUUCUAGUAGGUUACUUUCCAAUAAGAUUGUAUCAAUUAAUGCUCUCAUGAGCAAUGUAUGAAUAAAGUGACCAUUUCUUUUGAGAAGUUUAAUUUCAAAGAAAGAAAGCCACAACACAAUCAUUUUUCUUAGCAUUUGGAAACUCAUGGUAAGGAUGAUUACUGCUUACUAUCACCACCACUACUGUUUAACGCUAAAACCAUUGAUUCUAAAAAACUACUACUGUUACUGUAUUGAUACAAAAUCAGGAGCUAUCAUUUAUCGCACAACUUUUAUGAAACAGCCAUUCCUACAGUGUCUUUAUUAGCAGUAUUUUGUUUAUUUCUAGAUAUUAAUCUCUGUUAGGUUGGUGAAGAAUCUGAGCGUUAGAAUACUUGAAUGGUACACAUAAGAUCACUCAGCCUGUAACUCCUGCCACUUCCAACUGAAGCCAAACACACUAUUCUGAAAUUCUUUGAAAGACAGGACAUCAAGUUGACGGCUCCAGCCCAAAGCUGCACAUACAUACAUGUGUGCAUGGAUGCACACACACAAAGAGCCGUCUAAAACUUAAUGAUUGGAGGAAAUUGUGUCUUUUGUUCUUCAUUUAAAAUCAUUUACUAGUAAGUAGAUAGGAAAGCCAUUUUGCUUGUUCUACUUCGAAUAUUAUUCCCAGAUUCAUUGUCUUCCUUCUUUAUAUCAUCAUCACCUGAUGCUUUAAGUUUAAUGCUCCAUGAAUGACUUCUUCUAUAAAGGCAAAAAUAAAUACAUUUCUUUUUCUACAGAUUACAUAUACUUUUCUAUAUGUAAUCAUAUGAGCUUUGCAAGUUGUUAAACCUCAGGAAUAUACAUGAGUGCCUGGUUGUUGAAAUAUCUGAAUUAACACUUCUAGCAUAGAAGCUUAAAUUUAAUAAAACCUAAACAAAUACACUAGUUUGGACCAAAUAAUUAUUUUGAUGCAGAACAAAAACGUUGAGCCAAUAUGUGACCUUCCUUAGUGAAUCUAGGACAAGUGGAGGAACGUUGGAGCCAAAUAAUCAAGAUUACCAAACAAUCAAGAUUAUGUUGGGUAAGAC
rnacentral:lncRNA from 1 species